rnacentral:rRNA from 1 species
UACAGAGGUCUCAAGCGUUGUUCGGAUUCAUUGGGCGUAAAGGGUGCGUAGGUGGCUUGGUAAGUUGAAGGUGAAAUCUCGGAGCUCAACUCCGAAACUGCCUUCAAUACUGCCGGGCUCGAGGACUGUAGAGGAGAAUGGAAUUCACGGUGUAGCAGUGAAAUGCGUAGAUAUCGUGAGGAAGACCAGUGGCGAAGGCGAUUCUCUGGGCAGUUCCUGACACUGAGGCACGAGGGCCAGGGGAGCAAACGGG